UACAUGUUCGUUGCAUCUUUGCGCUCUAAAGUCACAGUAGGGCGCUUUAAAUGCGGCAGAAACAAAGGAACUGAAGCAAACAAUCACAGGAGAAUCGAAGUCUCGCAAGAGAAAAACUAAGUCUUCGCAAGGGUUCGAAUUCGGGGCUCAAGCUUCCCUCGAUUGAUUUUUCCGAAUUGGGCGAUUCGGAGCCUGGAAGCCGGAGCUGGGAUUCUGUCCAAAGUGCCGUCUGGCAAGCGCUCGAGGAGUACGGGUGCUUUGAGGCUUUGUACGGCAAGGUCCCUGCGGAGCUUCAUGACCAGGUCUUCGGCCAAAUGGAGGAGAUGUUCAAUCUCCCGGCCGAGACCAAGCGCCGGUUCGUCGACCCGACAAAGCUGUACGAUGGGUACCUAGCCGACCUCCCUCUUCACCCCCUUCACGAGGCCAUGGGAAUGCACGACGCCCUGAACUCGGGCGCGAUCGAACGGUUAGCUGAUCUCCUGUGGCCAGAGGGGAAUACCAAGUUCUGUGAGUUGCUGAGUACGUAUCUGAGGAGGCUCUCUGAGCUAGAUUAUAUGAUCCAGAAGAUGGUCUUUCGAAGCUUCGGGGUCGAGCGUUAUCUCGGUUCGCAUGCCGAGUUGAUGAAACGUUCUCUUCGCCUUCUGAGAUAUGGAGCGCCGAGGAUGGAGGAGGCUCGAACCGGAGGCGGUAACUCACUACGACGCGAGCUUCGUGACCACGCUUCAGCAAAAUCACGUGAAUGGAUUGGAAGUGCAGACUAAGCAUGGAGACUGGAUUAAAGUCGCACCUUCGGCUUCCUCUACUAUUGUCAUGAUUGGAGAGGUAUUGUCAUGAUUGGAGAGGCAUUCCAUGGAUGGAGCGACGGGAGGCUAUACUGUCCUCGACACCGCGUGAUGAUGAGUGGACACGAGGCCAGACACUCCAUCGCGAUCUUCUCCGGCGUCGAAGGAACUAUCCGAUGCCCCGACGAGCUCGUGGACGAGCAACACCCUUUGCUUUUCAAGCCCUUCGAUGUAGACGGCCUGGUCCGUAUAUACACCACACCAGAGGGACUGAAUGGAGCUUCGGCUCUCAAAACUUUUUAUAGCGCUUCUAAUUGAAUAUGUGCAAUCUAUUUUUCCCACCCCUUUUUUUCUAAACUUUACCUUCCAAUGCAUCUCCGACAUGUGAUCUGGUAAAGACAUCAGUAAUCACAAUAUUU